ACAUAAUCCCCAACCCUGGGUAGCAAGGGCAGCGGAUAGGGGAUUUCACUAAAGCCGCAGGCUGGCUGCCUGCACCUGCAGGGUGGCGUGGGCUCAGUAGGUGGCGCUCUUGCCCCUCCAUCCUUCAUCCAUUUAUGUACAAGUUUAGUUGGUUGAUUUUUAAUCCGUUGCUUUCAGUCAUGCACACAAACACCCUGCAUGGGCGGCAGCACGAGCUCUGAAAAGCUACACGUGGCCUUUCCAUCUCCCAGCCAGCUGAGGCCCUGCCCUUAUCAGUUGUAGGCUUAAGGGUUUGUUGAGAUAAUUGUUAAGAGCAGAGCUGGGCUUCCCAGGUGGCAAUAAUGGUAAAGAACCUGCCCGCCAAUGCAAGAGACAUGAAACUCAGGCUUGAUCCCUGGGUUAGGAAGAUCCUCUGGAGGAGGGCAUGGCAACCCACUCCAGUGUUCUUGCCUGGAGAAUCCCAUGGACAGAGGAGCCUGGCGGGCUACAGUCCAUGGGGUCGCUCAGAGUUGGACACGAGUGAAGUAACAGCACACACAAGAGAAAGAAGCCAAUCUGAAAAGACUAUAUUCUCUGUGAUCCCAACUCUGUGACGUUCUCGAAAGGCAAAUAUGGACACAGUAAAAAGUUCCCCAACCAGGGAUCAAACCGACGCCCCUGCAUUGGAAGCAUGGAGUCUUAACCACAGGACCGUCAGGGAGGUCCCCCAUACAGCUUUUCGCCAAGUAUUUGGCACAGAUGAAAACACAAGGAGGAAUGACACGCGGCCGCCCCAUAAUUGUGGGGCCUUCUCCAGUGGACCAUGAUCUAUUUACUGAGAAUUUUUUAAUAAAUAAACCACAGCCUUGAACCCUUGUGCCCUUAUAAACCAGUUGGUUCUCAUGGGGAGAGUUCAGGAGUUUUUAUGGAGCAAUAGUAUGUUCUCAUGAGAAUUUUAUUAGAAAUCAGAGACUUGAAAUGCAUCAAGCAGGAAAUUUAUGAGGUUACAUGGGAACCAUCCCUUCAUUUUGUCAUUCUGGGUUAAUUUACUUCUUCGUAGUGUGUUGAUUUACUUUGUAAAUUUCAGUCAUGAAUUCUAAGCUUCUCAGCAAAUUUAAGCCUGCUCAUCAAUAUCUUGAACUUCUCCCAUUUUUUAUCCUUAAAAUAAGAUAGCUAAUUAUUGAUAGCCUAUAUAAGAAAGUCCAAACAUCUAUGGGAAGCACAUAUUCCUGGGCAGAAAUGUGUCCAAGCAGGUCUUUCCAAAUGCCAAGGAAUAAACAGAGCUUAGAGAAAAACAUUUUUAUAACCUACAUGCAAUUCUUUAUGUCUUGAACUUUUCCACUUAAUAGUUUCUCCAAAUAAUGUUUUUAAUUGUGUUUUGCAAAGUACCCAGUUAAAAUUUCACUCAUAAAAAAAAAAAAAACAAGCUUGUUUAUUAUCAUGUAACACAACUUGGAAAAUAGCCCAAACCCAGAAUAGAUGUUUGUGUGCUGGUGAAGUGGGGAGGAAGUGUUCUAAACAAGUUUUUCGUCUGGGCCCAUUCCAACAUUUCAUUAAUUGUGUGUUGAUGGUGUGAGGAAAGAGGGCAGGCCAGGACUGGCCUUGGCUGGAGCCAAGAAAGUGAGUGAGGAACCCCAGGAA
ensembl:lncRNA